ACUGUCUCCGCCUCUGUUUGCCUUCUCUUCUGUUUUGUUUGUCUCAAGGCGCCAUCUUCUACAGCUUCCUCCUCUGGCUGGCCUCCUCUUCCUCGCACUCUCUUUUCUUUCUUUCUGUUCUUUCUUUUUAUUUAUUUAACCAGUUGUGACGCUUCCCUCGGUUUGUCUGCUGCUGUUGGAGUUCAUGUUGAUGAAGAGGGUUUUUCUCGAGACUGCAAAGAUUCCUUGUGUGAAUAAAUCUGGAGGAUGGCACAAAAUGCACUGCUAAAACUGGAGUGAGCCAGGAGAGACCAGAGAAACGACAGCAGAGGAACAGUGUCAUCCUUCCUUCAUCAUCUAACUGGAAGUGCAAAAGCUCAGAUUAGUAAAUUCUUCUGAAGAUUCCUUGUGUCAAUAAAUCCGGAGGAUGGCACAAUGCACUGCUGAAACUGGAGUGAGCCAGGAGAGACCGGAGAGAUGGUAAAGAGAAGGACAACAACGGAGUGUCAUCCUUCCCUCAUCAUCUGCAGUAACUGGAAGUGGAAAAGCCCAAAGUAAUUCCUUUUUCGAAUAAAUCCAGAGGAUUUGUGCUACUAAAACCAGAGUGGAGACCAGAGAGAUGGUGAAAAAGAGAAAAACAACAAAACAAAAAGGUCAUUCUUCCUUUGUCAUCUAACUGAAUUUAAGGGGAAGAACUGAGAUUAGUAAAUUUACUAAAUUUUUAUGAAGUUGGUUUCAGCCAUUAUUAUUGUUAUUUCUGUCUUCAAUCAACAGUCACGUGCAUUCAGAAGUGAUUUUUCUAAAAAUUGUUAACUGGACUGUAUAAUUUUUUUAAAAGGCCAUGUUACCGUACUUUGCAAGUUUUAACUGUGUAUGUACUUGAACGUUUUAAAUACAGUAUUGUAUUUUCAGACAGUUCAAUCUUAAGUGAUAUAAUUAUUUGCAAUGUUUUAAAUAAACCUCCAUAUUUUGUAACAACUGGGUUGUUUG